rnacentral:rRNA from 1 species
ACGAUGAAGCCCAGCUUGCUGGGUGGAUUAGUGGCGAACGGGUGAGUAACACGUGAGUAACCUGCCCUUGACUCUGGGAUAAGCACUGGAAACGGUGUCUAAUACCGGAUACGACAACCGACGGCAUCGUCUGGUUGUGGAAAGAUUUUUUGGUCAAGGAUGGACUCGCGGCCUAUCAGCUAGUUGGUGAGGUAAUGGCUCACCAAGGCGACGACGGGUAGCCGGCCUGAGAGGGUGACCGGCCACACUGGAACUGAGACACGGUCCAGA